rnacentral:tRNA from 1 species
GGAGGUGUGGCACAGUGGAUAAAGUCUUGGACUUUUAAGCUAAAGGUCCCAAGUUUGAGCCCUGGCAUCUCUU